UUGAUGUCCUUUGGUUGAGUCUAUUAAGUAAAUUUGAAUACAAAAUGAACUCUAAGUGAAAGUGGUCAGAAAAAUUCGUUUCGUGUUGAAAAUGAAACAAAUAUUGUGUCAAUGUUAUGUUAACUUGACCUUUUGUGGUCAAAGAGAGCCAUUCGUGCAAAAAAACGAUUAGCAAGUGGUCAAUAGAUGACAGUGAAUCUUGUUUCAUCACAACAUCUCCUGAUAUUAGAUGAGUUGAUUUGGUCACAUUGGUCACAGAAAUCAGUUCAGCCAUUAAAUUACAUUUAAUGUAAAUUAUCCUGAAGUUUCUCUCAUGGAAUUGUGACAAACGAAUCCUUUUAUUGAUAAAUGAUCUUCUGACUCGCAAUUAAUUGUCAUUAAUUGUCGAUUUUCAAAGGCAUAUUACUCGAAGUAAUUUACUUCUAUUGAAGUUUGUCAAAGAAAAACAAGUUUCCAAAUUAACCAGUUUUACUCUAAGCGCCAAUUUUAAAUUUAAGCGGCAAUUUCUGUAUUUCCUGGUUAAUUUACAAAUUGAUUGCUCCAAGUCAACCUGAGUAAAUGUUAAUAAACGGUUUUUACAUAAAUUUAUCAUCUAACAACACUUUUCAUGCAACAAUCUCAUCUAUUAACGUAUGAAUUUCAUUUCAGACAAAAGAUUGCACCAAAAUCUGUAAAAUUACGUAUUAAACCAGUCCAUUGGUAAAAGACAACACAGAGAUCAAUAACUUUCUUAUUAUUAUACAAUAUGAAGAACCGGUUUUAUCAAAUUAUUGCACCAGAUUCAGCAAAAAUGAAUGGUUGAAUAACCUGAGUCUGAUAUGAUUUACUAUACUGACCGAAGCCUUUUUCAGCCCUUUAUUUUUUAUCGGAAAUCUGACAGUUCUGAUCCUAGACUCGUCUCAGUGUAUGAGAUGGUUCGAGGACAAACUUGUUUAUCUCUACAUUUUUAAUUUUCAUGAUACAUCUGAAUCAUUCAUAGCAUAUGACGUUUAACUGCUUGAAAAAAUAAACUUAAUACUGUUAAACCAACUUGAAGUAGUAAUUAACUAGGCACUCAUUAAUUCAAAAAGCAAGAAUAGUCUUCUGGUACCUUAUUAUCAUCUCUGUCACAUUUUAAUUCGUGAAUCUUAUUAUGUCUGAAAGACGACAUCUACAUCUAGAAACACAGAAAGGGAUCGAUGAAGUUGAUAGCAUGCCAUGAUUGAAAAGAUGUUGAGAAUAGAGAAUGAGGAGUUCUCGAUCUUAAUUUAAUUGAUCGUUAAGAGCCGUUAGAUUUGGGAAUAAUCAAGAAACGAUGUUCAAUUCGUUUCUUUCAAUUGGAGAUUGAAGAACAAGAUUCAAAUAAAGUAAAGUUGGUUCGAACAUCAAAAGAUGUAAGAAACAAUAAAUAAAGUUUCUUCGAUAAACAUAAAUAAAUGAUAAAAGUUGAGACAAAAUUAUUAAUUCAAAGAUUUAUUGUAGUACACAAUUUUACAGAAUUUAGUUUUUUACGGUUGUGUUUGUAAAUAGCGCUUUGACUUAGAUCACAACUUUGUUUCGCCCAAUAACCAAGUUCUUUGAGGAACCAAAACUUUUUCAAAUUUUGUCAGUUUUACUUUUGUUUUCCGUUCAAACAACUUGUUCUUCCACCUGUUUCCUAUUCCAAGAUUCAUAUACAUAUUGAUAUUAUUUGCGUUAAAAUGGAGCGACACAAUGAUAAUUCUGAUAAAAUUACAUUCAAAGUAGAGUUUCUAGGUGAAUAUCAUGAUGUAGUAAUUGAUUGGAAUGAUGAUAAAUAUCAACACAAAGGGACAAUUAUUCGACCAGCUUGAAUCGAUAGUUGGAGUACCGCGUGAAUUCAACUACGAAAUUCUUCUGCAGUAUCACCAGGUGGAAGAUAAUAGGCCAUUUUAUCAUAACAUUGACAGGCGCAGCCUUAGUGCCUCCUUGGACUCGAGUUUAUCGUGUACAACGUGAUAUACUAAUGCCUUUAGUUUCAUCCGGAGUUGAACAUGGAAAUAUAAGAGAAUUAGCAUUAGCCAGAAUGGCUGACUAGGGAACCACAUGUAGAGAUAUAAGAACCAGGAAAGUUGGUAUCCAAGAAAUCUAACACAAAUGGAGGCUGGGAAACCUUCCUUUCUUAUGAAGACGUUCAACAAGAUAUUUUAAUUGGUCUUUUAAGAUUAAGAAAUUGUUCACCUGAUACUUUCCGCCCAGAAUUGAAGGGCUUUUGUUCAAUUGUAAGAGAAUUGCAUGUUUAUGGUAGUGUUGUACCUAUAAGUGGAAAGGAUCCAACCAAUUUCAACAUCAAGGAUUCGGAAUGCUCUUGAUGGAAGAAGCUCAAAGAAUUACACUCAAUGAAUAUGGAUCUACUGAGAUCGCAGUUAUUUCAGGCAUUAAUUUUACUUUGACUUUAUUGCAGAUUCAUUUUUAAUACUCAAAACUUGAUAUUAAUUCAACAUAAUUUCUUUUUCUCAGGUGUUGGAACCAGAAAUUAUUAUAAAAAACUUGGUUACUCGUUGGAAGGUGUAUAUAUGUGCAAAUCUUUAAUUUAAUCAAAAAUUGUUAUUGAAUUGAGAUUCACAAAAUGUUUUGUGUAUUUUUCAUUAAAAAAUUAUAAUGUUUAAAAAAU